UGGGUGAUGGCGUGCCUUUUGUAGAAUGAACCGGCGAGUUACGAUUUGAUGCAAGGUUAAGCAGUAAAUGUGGAGCCGUAGCGAAAGCGAGUCUGAAUAGGGCGUUUAGUAUUUGGUCGUAGACCCGAAACCAGGUGAUCUACCCUUGGUCAGGUUGAAGUUCAGGUAACACUGAAUGGAGGACCGAACCGACUUACGUUGAAAAGUGAGCGGAUGAACUGAGGGUAGCGGAGAAAUUCCAAUCGAACCUGGAGAUAGCUGGUUCUCUCCGAAAUAGCUUUAGGGCUAGCCUCAAGUGAUGAUUAUUGGAGGUAGAGCACUGUUUGGACGAGGGGCCCCUCUCGGGUUACCGAAUUCAGACAAACUCCGAAUGCCAAUUAAUUUAACUUGGGAGUCAGAACAUGGGUGAUAAGGUCCGUGUUCGAAAGGGAAACAGCCCAGACCACCAGCUAAGGUCCCAAAAUAUAUGUUAAGUGGAAAAGGAUGUGGCGUUGCCCAGACAACUAGGAUGUUGGCUUAGAAGCAGCCAUCAUUA
rnacentral:rRNA from 1 species